GGGGAAUAUUGCACAAUGGGCGCAAGCCUGAUGCAGCCAUGCCGCGUGUGUGAAGAAGGCCUUCGGGUUGUAAAGCACUUUCAGCGGGGAGGAAGGCGGUGAGGUUAAUAACCUUGUCGAUUGACGUUACCCGCAGAAGAAGCACCGGCUAACUCCGUGCCAGCAGCCGCGGUAAUACGGAGGGUGCAAGCGUUAAUCGGAAUUACUGGGCGUAAAGCGCACGCAGGCGGUCUGUCAAGUCGGAUGUGAAAUCCCCGGGCUCAACCUGGGAACUGCAUUCGAAACUGGCAGGCUAGAGUCUUGUAGAGGGGGGUAGAAUUCCAGGUGUAGCGGUGAAAUGCGUAGAGAUCCGGAGGGAUACCGGUGGCGAAGGCGGCCCCCUGGACGAAGACUGACGCUCAGGUGCGAAAGCGUGGGGAGCAAAC
rnacentral:rRNA from 1 species